rnacentral:misc_RNA from 1 species
GGAAGUAGAAGUCGUAACAAGGGCUCCGUUGGUGAACCAGCGGAGGGAUCAUUACCGAGUUUUUCCACUCCCAAACCCCUGUGAACUUAUACCUUUACUGUUGCUUCGGCGGGUUAACGCCCCGGAAGGCCCAAAAAGCCGCCGGAACCAGGCGCCCGCCGGGGGACCCAAACUCUUGUAUUUCUUACUUUGCAUGUCUGAGUGGAAUCAUAAACAAAUGAAUCAAAACUUUCAACAGCGGAUCUCUUGGUUCUG